UUUAAUUAUCUCAAUUUUCCUCAAUAUAUAUUUUUCUAAAAAAAUUAAUAUUUUAUUCAUGUAUAAAACUUUCAUUCCUCAAGAUUAUAAAGAAAAAGAAGGAGUCAAUGCACAAGGAUAACUUUACCUAGGAAGGAAAAGGUCCAUGUUCAAGAAAAGAUACCAGUUCAUUUCUAGACGUCAUAUUUAAAUCGCUUUACGAGUCCGGAGAAUAUUCGGAGGCAGAUAUUCGUGAUGAAAUAAAUACAAUGGUUUUUGCAGGAAGUGAUACUGCCGCUAAUUCGCUAACAUUUUUAUUUUUAAUGUUAGCCACGUUUCCGGACAUUCAAGUACGCUCAGAAUCAAGUAUACGAAGAGCUGUACGAUUUGUACGGCUUAAGCGAUCCAAAUGAGGUUC
rnacentral:lncRNA from 1 species